rnacentral:ncRNA from 1 species
AUCCGUAACUUCGGAACAAGGAUUGGCUCUAAGGGCUGGGCCGAUCGGGCUGAGGUUUCAAGCGUGCAGUGUAUGCUUGGCUUAGUUGUGUUGAGGACUUGUUCACUUGCCACCGGUUGUUCGGCUGGUCGAGUGUAUUCGAGUCUGAAGCAGAGCUGGCCGACAGACCGGCACGUGCAGAACCUGAGCUGCGCGGCUGUCCGUUUUCGUGUACAGACCGUUUCGGUCGGCAUUCAACAGCCAACUUAGAACUGGCACGGACACAAGGAAUCUGACUGUAUAAUUAAAACAAAGCAUUGCGAUGGCCGAUGAUCGGUGAUGACGCAAUGUGAUUUCUGCCCAGUGCUCUGAAUGUCAAAGUGAAGAAACAGUAGCACUACCUUUUCGCGGCAAUUUUCCAUACAAUAUAAAACGUCUGAUUAUGUAUGUAAUAUAAUUUCAUUUGUUUAAUAUUAAAUGCAACGUUCAUGUACAGAUGAAUGAAAACGUCCAAAACACAAAUGAACGAUACAGUGUACGAUCCGAGAUUGCUCUUCUGACAGAAGAAAUUAAAGAAAAUACAAUUCCUA